GAUGAACGCUAGCUACAGGCUUAACACAUGCAAGUCGAGGGACCGGCGCACGGGUGAGUAACACGUAUCCAACCUGCCCUUUACUCGGGGAUAGCCUUUCGAAAGAAAGAUUAAUACCCGAUGUAAAGGAUGGGGAUGCGUUCCAUUAGUUUGUUGGUGAGGUAACGGCUCACCAAGCCUUCGAUGGAUAGGGGUUCUGAGAGGAAGGUCCCCCACAUUGGAACUGAGACACGGUCCAAACUCGUACGUGAGGCAGCAGUGAGGAAUAUUGGUCACUGGGCGUGAGCCUGACCCAGCCAAGUAGCGUGAAGGAUGAAGGCUUAUGGGUCGUAAACUUCUUUUAUAUAAGAAGAUGUAUUAGAUGAAUAAGGAUCGGCUAACUCCGUGCCAGCCGCCGCGGUAAUAC
rnacentral:rRNA from 1 species